UACGAAGGGGGCUAGCGUUGUUCGGAAUUACUGGGCGUAAAGCGCGUGUAGGCGGGUCUUUAGGUCAGGGGUGAAAUGCCAGGGCUCAACCUUGGAACUGCCUUUGAUACUGGAGACCUUGAGUCCGGGAGAGGUGAGUGGAAUUGCGAGUGUAGAGGUGAAAUUCGUAGAUAUUCGCAAGAACACCAGUGGCGAAGGCGGCUCACUGGCCCGGAACUGACGCUGAGACGCGAAAGCGUGGGGAGCAAACAGG
rnacentral:rRNA from 1 species